GUCGUGAGAUGUUGGGUUAAGUCCCGCAACGAGCGCAACCCUUGUCCCUAGUUGCUACGCAAGGGCACUCUAGGGAGACUGCCGGUGACAAACCGGAGGAAGGUGGGGAUGACGUCAAGUCCUCAUGGCCCUUAUGGGUAGGGCUUCACACGUCAUACAAUGGCCGGUACAGAGGGUUGCCAAAGCGCGAGCUGGAGCCAAUCCCAGAAAGCCGGUCGUAGUCCGGAUUGCAGUCUGCAACUCGACUGCAUGAAGUCGGAAUCGCUAGUAAUCGCGGAUCAGCAUGUCGCGGUGAAUACGUUCCCGGGUCUUGUACACACCGCCCGUCACACCAUGGGAGCGGGAUGUACCAGAAGUAGGUAGGCUAACCGCAAGGGGGCCGCUUACCACGGUGCGUUUCGUGACUGGGGUGAAGUCGUAACAAGGUAGCCGUAUCGGAAGGUGCGGCUGGAUCACCUCCUUUCUAGAGAUAACCCAUCUCUUCAAGUGUCCACUCUUAUCGGUUGUUGCUCUCAGGGAUCAGGCAUCAGGGAUCAGGUAUCAGUCAAAUAGAGCGCGCGCGAAGCGCGCGGUAAAAUUCUGAUUCCUGAUGCCUGAUCCCUGACAUGGGCCUGUAGCUCAGCUGGUUAGAGCACCGUCUUGAUAAGGCGGGGGUCGAUGGUUCGAAUCCAUCCAGACCCACCAACCAGGGAUCAGUGAUCAGGGAUCAGGUAUCAGUCAAUAGAGCGCGCGCGAAGCGCGCGGUAAAUUCUGAUUCCUGAUACCUGAUCCCUGAUUCCUGAAAAGGGGCUGUAGCUCAGUUGGGAGAGCACCUGCUUUGCAAGCAGGGGGUCGUCGGUUCGAUCCCGUCCAGCUCCACCAGGCGCCGAUAAGCGAUGAGACUGUCGCGGCUCUGGCCGCGAAGUUCUUUGACAACCGAAUACGUUGAUUCUCGAGUGUAGCCAAGCAUGAUGUUCUCCAAGUAGGCAAAGAAAUUCGUGGUCAAGCUACUAAGGGCGAACGGUGGAUGCCUUGGCGCCAGGAAGCGAUGAAAGGGCGUGGCUAGCUGCGAUAAGCCUCGGGGAGCCGCAAAGCCAGGCUUCGAUCCGAGGAUGC
rnacentral:sRNA from 1 species